UCAAGUAUAGCACCAAACGAGAAACAAGUCUAAUGGUGGAGCGGUACUGGCCCGGUAAAAGCGCUUGAGGUGCUUCGGUGGUUUAACCGCUGGGCAGCAACCUAAGGGUAGUUAUACCUCACGUACCCAUCCCCGCGGUACAACCGCCCGAGCCAACGGUACAACCGCUGGGAGAGAAAACAACUGAUUUGGAGAAGGAAUGAGGGCCUCUCUCAAGGAUCAGAAGGAACUAGGGUGGGAGAUAGAAGAUGUGUACGUGCAUUGAUACACCCACUACCUUAUGAUGAGAAUUCCCUCUUAAUAGUACUGGUU
rnacentral:lncRNA from 1 species